rnacentral:rRNA from 1 species
GUGCGGAACACGUGUGCAACCUGCCUUUAUCAGGGGGAUAGCCUUUCGAAAGGAAGAUUAAUACCCCAUAAUAUUUUAAGUGGCAUCACUUGAAAUUGAAAACUCCGGUGGAUAAAGAUGGGCACGCGCAAGAUUAGAUAGUUGGUGAGGUAACGGCUCACCAAGUCUGCGAUCUUUAGGGGGCCUGAGAGGGUGAUCCCCCACACUGGUACUGAGACACGGACCAGACUCCUACGGGAGGCAGCAGUGAGGAAUAUUGGACAAUGGGUGAGAGCCUGAUCCAGCCAUCCCGCGUGAAGGACGACGGCCCUAUGGGUUGUAAACUUCUUUUGUAUAGGGAUAAACCUUUCCACGUGUGGGAAGCUGAAGGUACUAUACGAAUAAGCACCGGCUAACUCCGUGCCAGCAGCCGCGGUAAUACGGAGGGUGCAAGCGUUAUCCGGAUUUAUUGGGUUUAAAGGGUCCGUAGGCGGAUCUGUAAGUCAGUGGUGAAAUCUCACAGCUUAACUGUGAAACUGCCAUUGAUACUGCAGGUCUUGAGUGUUGUUGAAGUAGCUGGAAUAAGUAGUGUAGCGGUGAAAUGCAUAGAUAUUACUUAGAACACCAAUUGCGAA